rnacentral:rRNA from 1 species
GGGUUGUGAGGUUAAGCGACUAAGCGUACACGGUGGAUGCCCUGGCAGUCAGAGGCGAUGAAGGACGUGCUAAUCUGCGAUAAGCGUCGGUAAGGUGAUAUGAACCGUUAUAACCGGCGAUUUCCGAAUGGGGAAACCCAGUGUGUUUCGACACACUAUCAUUAACUGAAUCCAUAGGUUAAUGAGGCGAACCGGGGGAACUGAAACAUCUAAGUACCCCGAGGAAAAGAAAUCAACCGAGAUUCCCCCAGUAGCGGCGAGCGAACGGGGAGCAGCCCAGAGCCUGAAUCAGUGUGUGUGUUAGUGGAAGCGUCUGGAAAGGCGCGCGAUACAGGGUGACAGCCCCGUACACAAAAAUGCACAUAUUGUGAGCUCGAUGAGUAGGGCGGGACACGUGGUAUCCUGUCUGAAUAUGGGGGGACCAUCCUCCAAGGCUAAAUACUCCUGACUGACCGAUAGUGAACCAGUACCGUGAGGGAAAGGCGAAAAGAACCCCGGCGAGGGGAGUGAAAAAGAACCUGAAACCGUGUACGUACAAGCAGUGGGAGCACGCUUCGGCGUGUGACUGCGUACCUUUUGUAUAAUGGGUCAGCGACUUAUAUUCUGUAGCAAGGUUAACCGAAUAGGGGAGCCGAAGGGAAACCGAGUCUUAACUGGGCGUUAAGUUGCAGGGUAUAGACCCGAAACCCGGUGAUCUAGCCAUGGGCAGGUUGAAGGUUGGGUAACACUAACUGGAGGACCGAACCGACUAAUGUUGAAAAAUUAGCGGAUGACUUGUGGCUGGGGGUGAAAGGCCAAUCAAACCGGGAGAUAGCUGGUUCUCCCCGAAAGCUAUUUAGGUAGCGCCUCGUGAAUUCAUCUCCGGGGGUAGAGCACUGUUUCGGCAAGGGGGUCAUCCCGACUUACCAACCCGAUGCAAACUGCGAAUACCGGAGAAUGUUAUCACGGGAGACACACGGCGGGUGCUAACGUCCGUCGUGAAGAGGGAAACAACCCAGACCGCCAGCUAAGGUCCCAAAGUCAUGGUUAAGUGGGAAACGAUGUGGGAAGGCCCAGACAGCCAGGAUGUUGGCUUAGAAGCAGCCAUCAUUUAAAGAAAGCGUAAUAGCUCACUGGUCGAGUCGGCCUGCGCGGAAGAUGUAACGGGGCUAAACCAUGCACCGAAGCUGCGGCAGCGACACUAUGUGUUGUUGGGUAGGGGAGCGUUCUGUAAGCCUGUGAAGGUGUGCUGUGAGGCAUGCUGGAGGUAUCAGAAGUGCGAAUGCUGACAUAAGUAACGAUAAAGCGGGUGAAAAGCCCGCUCGCCGGAAGACCAAGGGUUCCUGUCCAACGUUAAUCGGGGCAGGGUGAGUCGACCCCUAAGGCGAGGCCGAAAGGCGUAGUCGAUGGGAAACAGGUUAAUAUUCCUGUACUUGGUGUUACUGCGAAGGGGGGACGGAGAAGGCUAUGUUGGCCGGGCGACGGUUGUCCCGGUUUAAGCGUGUAGGCUGGUUUUCCAGGCAAAUCCGGAAAAUCAAGGCUGAGGCGUGAUGACGAGGCACUACGGUGCUGAAGCAACAAAUGCCCUGCUUCCAGGAAAAGCCUCUAAGCAUCAGGUAACAUCAAAUCGUACCCCAAACCGACACAGGUGGUCAGGUAGAGAAUACCAAGGCGCUUGAGAGAACUCGGGUGAAGGAACUAGGCAAAAUGGUGCCGUAACUUCGGGAGAAGGCACGCUGAUAUGUAGGUGAAGUCCCUCGCGGAUGGAGCUGAAAUCAGUCGAAGAUACCAGCUGGCUGCAACUGUUUAUUAAAAACACAGCACUGUGCAAACACGAAAGUGGACGUAUACGGUGUGACGCCUGCCCGGUGCCGGAAGGUUAAUUGAUGGGGUCAGCGCAAGCGAAGCUCUUGAUCGAAGCCCCGGUAAACGGCGGCCGUAACUAUAACGGUCCUAAGGUAGCGAAAUUCCUUGUCGGGUAAGUUCCGACCUGCACGAAUGGCGUAAUGAUGGCCAGGCUGUCUCCACCCGAGACUCAGUGAAAUUGAACUCGCUGUGAAGAUGCAGUGUACCCGCGGCAAGACGGAAAGACCCCGUGAACCUUUACUAUAGCUUGACACUGAACAUUGAGCCUUGAUGUGUAGGAUAGGUGGGAGGCUUUGAAGUGUGGACGCCAGUCUGCAUGGAGCCGACCUUGAAAUACCACCCUUUAAUGUUUGAUGUUCUAACGUUGACCCGUAAUCCGGGUUGCGGACAGUGUCUGGUGGGUAGUUUGACUGGGGCGGUCUCCUCCUAAAGAGUAACGGAGGAGCACGAAGGUUGGCUAAUCCUGGUCGGACAUCAGGAGGUUAGUGCAAUGGCAUAAGCCAGCUUGACUGCGAGCGUGACGGCGCGAGCAGGUGCGAAAGCAGGUCAUAGUGAUCCGGUGGUUCUGAAUGGAAGGGCCAUCGCUCAACGGAUAAAAGGUACUCCGGGGAUAACAGGCUGAUACCGCCCAAGAGUUCAUAUCGACGGCGGUGUUUGGCACCUCGAUGUCGGCUCAUCACAUCCUGGGGCUGAAGUAGGUCCCAAGGGUAUGGCUGUUCGCCAUUUAAAGUGGUACGCGAGCUGGGUUUAGAACGUCGUGAGACAGUUCGGUCCCUAUCUGCCGUGGGCGCUGGAGAACUGAGGGGGGCUGCUCCUAGUACGAGAGGACCGGAGUGGACGCAUCACUGGUGUUCGGGUUGUCAUGCCAAUGGCACUGCCCGGUAGCUAAAUGCGGAAGAGAUAAGUGCUGAAAGCAUCUAAGCACGAAACUUGCCCCGAGAUGAGUUCUCCCUGACCCUUUAAGGGUCCUGAAGGAACGUUGAAGACGACGACGUUGAUAGGCCGGGUGUGUAAGCGCAGCGAUGCGUUGAGCUAACCGGUACUAAUGAACCGUGAGGCUUAACCUUACAACGCCGAAG